GCCCCUCAGUGGCACAGCGGAAUGUCUGCGGACUUACAAUGCUAGAAACCGGGUUUCAAUACCCGUGGUGGGCAGAGCACAGAUAGCCCAUAGUGUGGCUUUGUGCUUAAUUACAAACAAACAAACAAAACA